rnacentral:rRNA from 1 species
UACGGAGGGUGCAAGCGUUAUCCGGCUUCACGGGGUUUAAAGGGUGCGUCGGUGGGCAGGUAAGUCCGUGGUGAAAUCCUACAGCUUAACUAUAGAAAUGCCAUGGAUACUAUUUGUCUUGAAUGUCGUAGAGGUAAGCGGAAUAUGUCAUGUAGCGGUGAAAUGCUUAGAUAUGACAUAGAAAACCAAUUGCGAAGGCAGCUUACUAUGCGAUGAUUGACACUGAGGCACUAAAGCGUGUGUAGCAAACAGG